CCCACAUUAGUUCUUUUGCUAAGCCUAGCAAAAUAAAAAUGAUUGGAUCUCCAAUGGGUUGGGCUUGCUGCCCAGAGUCACACAUUUAGAAGCAAGAGAUGUCAGAAGACUCAUGUGACCAAGGAUUCCUCCUAGGCUGGGCAGCCUGGUAGGACCAUAUGGACCAAGAUACUCCCAGGGACUGUGGCCAGAAGGAUUGUGGGAAGGCAACAAAAGAUUCCUCCAGCCCUGCUCCUUGUCUUUCUGCCUUUAUGGGCCUGAUGAUAACAGCUCCCAUUUCUAUCUUUGACAAAGGACAGUAACCCUAUGAGAUCAGAUUGUAACGGAGCAUAGAGUAGAUCUGGAUCUUAGAGCGGAGGAAAACCUGGGCAUUCAUUUAUACAGUCUCUUCCUACUGCAACCCAAAAGAAUUCAGGAGCAUCACCAGCAUCUUGGGGGGAAAAAGAAGGUGAGCCCCAGGUGCUGGGAAGAGAAGCAACCAGGUUUACCUCAAUACAGGGAAGAGAAAACCUUGGACUUUGCCUUCUACAAUUAUCAUGAGUUUUUCAGAUGGAUGGAAAGGGUCGUGGCGGGGGAGUUGUGUCUAUUUUUCUAGCAACAUCAAGUUCUUUUCCUUCUGGGAGAAUCCAAGCCCUUUCGAUAGUCCCAAAAGUCUACAGAUUUAUGUGUAUCCCAGGGAUAAAAGUAAGAUUCACUGGGAUGUUGGAACAUUGCAAGCAAUCUAGAAGAUUAAACCACAGGGAACUGUUAGGAGCCUGGAGAGCAAUGGAGAAACCUGGAAGGAAAGAUGAGAUUCACUGAAGAGAGAAGAGGAUUGCAUUAAUUGCUUAUGGUCUACAGGUUACCAUCCAUCUGGACCCUUCUUAACAUCCUUUGUUGGUUCUUCAUCCAUGUCAUGUCCACCUCCAGUGGGUAUCCCCCAAGGAUCUGUAUUGGGCCCUCUUCUCUUUUGCUUGUAUACCAUCCUAGUGAUUUCAUUGGUUCCCAUCCAUUCAAUUACACUUUCUAUACUGAA